rnacentral:tRNA from 1 species
GCAGUCGUGGCCGAGCGGUUAAGGCGACGGACUAGAAAUCCAUUGGGGUCUCCCCGCACAGGUUCAAAUCCUGUCGACUGCG